GGAUGAGAACCGUAAAGGUUCGAGUCUCGCGAAGCGAGACAACAUCACUCCGGUGGUGGCCCGAAGGGCGAGUUAUCCUACACGACCCACCA
rnacentral:sRNA from 1 species